GAAAGACAGUCAUGGUAAC
rnacentral:piRNA from 1 species